AUUGAACGCUGGCGGCAGGCCUAACACAUGCAAGUCGAGCGGAUGAAGGGAGCUUGCUCCUGUAUUCAGCGGCGGACGGGUGAGUAAUGCCUAGGAAUCUGCCUGGUAGUGGGGGAUAACGUCCGGAAACGGGCGCUAAUACCGCAUACGUCCUGAGGGAGAAAGUGGGGGCUCUUCGGACCUCACGCUAUCAGAUGAGCCUAGGUCGGAUUAGCUAGUUGGUGGGGUAAAGGCCUACCCAGGCGACGAUACGUAACUGGUCUGAGAGGAUGAUCAGUCACGCUGGAGAUGGUACACGGUCAAGAGGCGAACGAGAUGCAGCAGUGAGGAAUAUUGGACGAUGGGCGGAAGCAUGAUCCAGCCAGGCCGCGUGUGUGAAGAAGGUCUUCGGAGUGUAAAGCACUGUAAGUUGGGAGGAAAAGCAGUAAGUGAAGACAUGGCUAAAUUGACGGUACCAGCAGAAGAAGCACCGGCUAACUACGUG
rnacentral:rRNA from 1 species